GACGAACGCUGGCGGCGUGCCUAACACAUGCAAGUCGAACGGGAUCCGCAAGGAUUCAGUGGCGGACGGGUGCGUAACACGUGAGGAACAUAGCCAUCGGCGGGGGAUAGCCGGCCCAACGGCCGGGUAAUACCGCGUACGAUCUUCGGGGGGCAUCCUCUGGAGAUGAAAGCAGCAAUGCGCCGAUGGGGUGCCUCGCGGCCUAUCAGCUAGUUGGUGAGGUAAUGGCUCACCAAGGCGAUGACGGGUAGCUGGUCCGAGAGGAUGACCAGCCACAUUGGGACUGAGACACGGCCCAGACUCCUACGGGAGGCAGCAGUGGGGAAUAUUGCGCAAUGGGGGAAACCCUGACGCAGCGACGCCGCGUGUGGGAUGAAGGUCUUCGGAUUGUAAACCACUGUCGCGAGGGACGAAGCUCUGACGGUACCUCGAAAGGAAGCACCGGCUAACUCUGUGCCAGCCCGCCGCCGUAAU
rnacentral:rRNA from 1 species